UGGGGAAUUUUGGACAAUGGGCGCAAGCCUGAUCCAGCCAUGCCGCGUGUCUGAAGAAGGCCUUCGGGUUGUAAAGGACUUUUGUCAGGGAAGAAAAGGGCGGGGUUAAUACCCCUGUCUGAUGACGGUACCUGAAGAAUAAGCACCGGCUAACUACGUGCCAGCAGCCGCGGUAAUACGUAGGGUGCGAGCGUUAAUCGGCAUUACUGGGCGUAAAGCGGGCGCAGACGGUUACUUAAGCAGGAUGUGAAAUCCCCGGGCUCAACCUGGGAACUGCGUUCUGAACUGGGUGACUAGAGUGUGUCAGAGGGAGGUAGAAUUCCACGUGUAGCAGUGAAAUGCGUAGAGAUGUGGAGGAAUACCGAUGGCGAAGGCAGCCUCCUGGGAUAACACUGACGUUCAUGCCCGAAAGCGUGGGUAGCAAACA
rnacentral:rRNA from 1 species